CAUCCUUGUGAGAAACAAACAAAAGCAACAAACAAAGCUGAGGUAAUACAUCUGUACAAAAAUUUUAUUUUGAAAUGUGAUGUCUGCAAGUUUCUCUUAGCAUUUCAAGAUUCUAAUGCUUGAAUUCUUUGUUAUGAGUGUGUGAUGUUGCCCACUCCAAACAAUUUAAUAGGCAUCCUGCGUCUUGGAUGGGCCAGUGUCCCAAAAAGGAAAAUCUGGUGGUAAUUUCAUAUGAGGAAGCUCACAGAAUUUCCGAGGGAGGUGAACUUUUAGGCAAUCAUAUGCUUUAAGUUUCCAUAGGGAGGCUAAACAGAUCUCUCUUUCAAGUAUCAAUGAGGGGAUACCUUUUUCUUUAAGGCAUGCAGCUGUGGCUAGCCCAGAAGGCCCUGCACCAACUAUCACAGUUCCGGGAACCAAAAUACACUUUAAUUGUGACUUCAUCCUGUCAAAGAAUAGCUCAUUACCAUCAAUCCUUGAUUUUUAUUCUUAACUGCUGAAGUGAGAGUAACAAGAAGGAAAACAACAGAAAAGAAAGAGCCACACAAAUUGAAGUUAAAUAGUAUCUUUCUCAAUUUGUCCAGAUGAUCAAAUCAGAAUCAACUUUAGUAUAAAUAAGAGAUGAUAUUUUGGCAGCUCUAGUGAACAAAAAUCACAAAACAGAUAUCUUCUUGGCAUCCCAUGGAGGUUGGCUGAAAAGAAAGAGAGGGAAAUCUAUUUUUAGCAUGAAGUAACAAACAAAGAUAGUAUUGUGGAUGGCUUCUUCACCUUUGGAGGAAUCCUCUACAUGAAUAAGAAAGCUGACUGCAAAUCAGAGUCUGGUUGCUGAAUCUAAAGCAAGAGCUGAAAUUUGCAUACUUCCUAGUAGCAUUAAGUUAUAUCUUUUGUUUCCUCACCUUAAGACUGAAUGCAGAUCAAGCUCUUGGGUUGGCAAUGUAUAUUAAGAAGAUUAAAAGAGUGGAAGUAAUUUGCUCAAUUGAAGUUGAUGAAAGAUGUAUUGAGAAGAAAAUACAAUGAUACUGAAUUCAUUGUCAAGAAGUGAAGCUUCCUUGAUAAAAGAAUGGUAAGAGGUGGGGGCAGCAAAAUAGAGUUUCUCUUGUAGUCUCUUGAAAAUUUCAGGUGACUCUGGUGAGACUUAAUUGUUCACAGAUUUAUAAUGCUUUGAAGGCCUAUCUUUGAACUGUAAUUUCCCCCAAGUUGAUGGGAACUUAAUGCUAAUUGUUGUUAAAGGAAUGAAUGUUCUUGGAAGAUGUGCAUCA